rnacentral:rRNA from 1 species
UACGAAGGGGGCUAGCGUUGCUCGGAAUCACUGGGCGUAAAGCGCGCGUAGGCGGAUCGUUAAGUCGGGGGUGAAAUCCUGGAGCUCAACUCCAGAACUGCCUUUGAUACUGGCGAUCUUGAGUCCGGGAGAGGUGAGUGGAACUCCGAGUGUAGAGGUGAAAUUCGUAGAUAUUCGGAAGAACACCAGUGGCGAAGGCGGCUCACUGGCCCGGUACUGACGCUGAGGCGCGAAAGCGUGGGGAGCAAACAGG